CCUACGGGAGGCAGCAGUGGGGAAUAUUGGACAAUGGGGGGAACCCUGAUCCAGCCAUGCCGCGUGUGUGAAGAAGGCCCUCGGGUUGUAAAGCACUUUCAGUGAGGAAGAACGCCUGGUGGUUAAUACCCAUCAGGAAAGACAUCACUCACAGAAGAAGCACCGGCUAACUCCGUGCCAGCAGCCGCGGUAAUACGGAGGGUGCGAGCGUUAAUCGGAAUUACUGGGCGUAAAGCGCGCGUAGGUGGCUUGAUAAGCCGGUUGUGAAAGCCCCGGGCUCAACCUGGGAACGGCAUCCGGAACUGUCAAGCUAGAGUGCAGGAGAGGAAGGUAGAAUUCCAGGUGUAGCGGUGAAAUGCGUAGAGAUCGGGAGGAAUACCAGUGGCGAAGGCGGCCUUCUGGACUGACACUGACACUGAGGUGCGAAAGCGUGGGUAGCAAACAGGAUUAGAUACCCUUGUAGUC
rnacentral:rRNA from 1 species